GCCAGGGUUCCUUUGUGUGUCCACUGAUGUUUCUCGAUGGUAGCUAGGAAGACUUUUGUGUGCUGGGCUGGUAGUAAUACAAGAGGUAACCCCAGGACAGUUUCUGCACAAUGAAGUUGUGCCAGUAGAGCUGCAGAAAAAUAACUCUCCAUUCUGACCUUUAUUUAUAGAAGUGACAACAGGUGCCUUGACUUCUUUCCCUUUCCUCCUUAGGGAAGACAUUCUUCCAAGUAUCAAGAAAGGGAGCCCUUGCUUCCCUGGAAGAUAUUUAGUCCAGCAAUCCCACUCCAGUUCCAUGUGACCAUUCCUAAUUUGAGCCAGUUUUGGAAAGGAAGUCAUCUCACAUGCCACCUUGGAAGGCAGAGAAACACAGAUAAUCAGAAGUGACAACAGGCGCCUUGACUUCUUUCCCUUUCCUCCUUAGGGAAGACAUUCUUCCAA
rnacentral:lncRNA from 1 species